CGGUGUGAUUCAUGACUGGGGUGAAGUCGUAACAAGGUAACCCUAGGGGAACCUGGGGUUGGAUCACCUCCUUA
rnacentral:rRNA from 1 species